rnacentral:rRNA from 1 species
GCUAAUACCGGAUAACAACAGAUGAUGCCUAUCAACUGUUUAAAAGAAUGGUUCUGCUAUCACUCUUGGAUGGACCUGCGGUGCAUUAGCUAGUUGGUAGGGUAACGGCCUACCAAGGCGAUGAUGCAUAGCCGAGUUGAGAGACUGAUCGGCCACAUUGGGACUGAGACACGGCCCAAACUCCUACGGGAGGCAGCAGGU